UUCACGGUGUGUCUCUCACCGGUACUCCAGUCGUCACUUAAGUCGGACGGAAGGGGGCGCCUGUCCCCGUCGUCCUCUCUUUUGGCCGCUUCGAUGCACCGAUCAAGGGCAGCACAGCUUGGGGAUCCGAAGUCGGGUGAGCGGCAAAUCCAUUACCUCCUCCUUCCUCUUUUCCAUUGGCUUGAUCUUGCAGCGAAAACUUCCUUCCUUUCGGCGUACUGCUGAUUACUCUCGGUCAGAUGUGAUCUUUUCUUCCUUCUUUUUUUCCUGCCCCUGUCUCUGCCAUGAAUUGGAUAAAGAAAAGACGGCCACUUGUUGAAUGGAAUUAGUUUAAACAUGGCAGCACCCAAAAUAAUUGGAUCUGUGGUUGCGUUCUUUGCAUUUGCAUAUGUAUGCGACACUUGAGUUGCUGACAGCAAGAUUUUUGGUGACAGAACACCAUAAACUGUAGCUGAUAAUGAAUGGUGGGAAGCCACCGACGAGAAGUUUCAGGCCUGGCCUCGUACUGCAGGGCCACCAGUAGUGAUGAAUCCUAUAACCUGCCAAAACUUCAUUGUAAGAUCAACUGAAUCUUAAGGUAAAAGGCAUCGUUUGGUGCAACUUUUAUGUGCUAGUUGUUUCUUGUUUAAUAAAUAAGGUUUUGGUUUUGUUGUUGAUCCUCAGGUAUGGAUUUCAUCUUAGGACCUCUUUUGUGACUGUUCUGGUGAUAUUGUGUUGGAAGAAAGUACUAUAUCUGCUCAUGAUCAUCUUGAUUUGCCCAAGUGUUUUUUAUUCACAUUUUGAUUGCAGUGAUAAUGAUUAAUAAGCAGAGAUUGAUUUUACCUCAUUAUGUUUCUCAUGGAUGUUGACAUUAUUCUGACAGUUUGAAUAGGAAGUCAAUAAUUAGUAAACAGAUAUGUAUGUUUGACCUCCAAAUUCCUCAUGUAUCUUUUGUUGUGUAUCAAUCUCAUGGGUAUUAAUGUUGCUUGAUGUCAAGGACAUAAACAAUAGGAAGCACAUUUAGCAUGUGCCCUUGUGGCUUCACUGCCAAAGUGUUUCCAAGCUAACAAUCCAUUGAAUUGGUCACCAUCUUAUUCUUUGUAAGAAAGUUGUCAGCUGGAUGGGAACAGGGAAGACAAUAAAUAACUAGAAUUCUAACAGGAGUCUUCCUUGCCUCCCUAACUGAGUUCCCAUGGCCGCUUGCUCCAGCAGAUGACUGCUCGCUAAUGGCUCCCCCAGCAACCAGCUGUUUCCCGGUCCUGCUUAAGCCGCAGCUCUUCUCAGGUUCGUAUGUACUCGUGGUUGUAUGAGUUGCAUCAUCCUUCAAACUGCUAUAGAUUUCGUCAGUGGAAGUUGCGAGGUUGCAUCAGUUUUACAUGUUGUAGUAGCCUGUGCAAUGCUUCGAACACCACCGAAGAAUUUGCAGCUGUUCGACCUGGUACGAUGAUGGUGUUGCUUGACGAGGCGAUCUAAGUAAAAUCGUAGUGAUGGAAUCUUAUCAUAAGUAGAUUCUUUUCUAUUAACUGAUAACUACUCAGAUUUAUAAUAUAUUUUACUUAAUUAAAUAGAAUCAUCUAAUCUAAUGAUACAAUGCAUACUGGGUCGGAGAAGUACCGGACUCCUGACCCUGAAACCGGUGUCUUCGUCCCCGAUGAGCACAACGGUGGCAACCACAGCAAGAAUGAUCUCCGUAACACCCUGCAGCACACUGCUGGCGAUUGUUCAUUGGUGUUGGAGCAGACUACCUGGAUCCAGCAGCUCGAGGAAGUUGACAAGCCUCUCCCAAACCUGGAGGAGAAAUGAAGUUGGGCAGAGGUUUCAGUAUGAUGUUUUAGCUCUCACCUUCAUGGUUGUCUUGAGUUGUCUUGGUAGUAGCAGUUUGCAGGUUGCAUGAUUGCUAAGACUUCUCUUUUGGUUCGAACCUGCUCGACAAACAAGACAAAUAGUUCUGCCACUGCAA